UGGAUAAAGUUGGGCCCAUUCCCAGUUACUUCUAACGAGUUAAUAUCGUGUGGGGACUGUUCUGUUCUCAUUAUGGGCCCAAUAUAAUAAAUGUGAUAUUGAUGGCCCAUUUGGAGAUAGGCCUUCCGGGCCCAUUAAUACCUUGAAAUUUGAAGAUAUUUUUUUCUGGAGUCGUUGGUUAUGUAAUGUCUUUUAUUAACGAUUUGCCAACUCGUAAUUAAUUGCUGUUCGUAGCUUUUUUUGUCUCAAACAGUUUUUACCUUUUUAACAAAUAAUUGGGCCAUACUGUUGGCCAGCCCAGUGGGCUCUAUCUCCUUAUUGGGCUACUUGAGCCCUGUGUGGGCCCAUUAAGUGCAUACGGUUUUUAAGUCGUUAGAUCGGAUUCCAUCCACGCCGCGACAGUCAUCGCCGUCUUCUCCAUGUGUUGCCUCAAUCGCCUGGCGUUGCGAUACCUCAUGUGAAGCAAAUCCAUGCGCAAAUCCUCCGCAGUGGUUCGGCGAUUGAGGACUCUGUGGAUACGUUUUAUCUGUACAGUAGAUUAAUCCAUUUUUCGUCGUUGCAAGACGUGCGGGUAGCAAGCGCAUGCCCAGUUUUUGAAGCGUGGAUUUGGCGCUGAUGUGUACGCGAACAACAGUUUGAUUCAUUUCUAUGCCUCCUGCGGGUGCUCGGAAAGUGUUCGAUAAAAUGCCUGACAGAAGCCUGGUAUCAUGGAAUGCGAUUAUCAAUGCCCUUGUGCAGCAUGGACUUGAGCUGAGGAAAUGGCGAGAAAGAUAAUAACCCAAGGCACUAAUAACUGCGGAGUAUAUGUCCUUCAUGACGUUGGGUUGGUUAAUCGGCUGCUGAGAAUGGCGUGUCGAAAGAACCUGGCUGUAGUUCAGUCCGAAAUCAAUGGCGUCAUCCAUUAAUUUUUUUGCAGGGGACACAACUCAUCAACAGACUAACGAGAUUUAUCAGUUCUUGGAUAUAAUCGAAAAGAAACUGAAUGUGGAAGGGUAUGCUCCCAACUUCCCACAAGUGCCCUUCGAUGGUGAAGCUGACGGUAAGGCGCAGUCAGCGAGAAGAUUCGCCAUCGCCUGCAGUUUGUUGAGCACGAAACAGAGUGAUACUAUUCAUGUAUUCAAGAAUCUGAGCGUCUGCAAAGAUUGCCACAGUUUUUCAAAGUUAGUCUCAAAAGUUUUCGAUUUGGAGAUCGUCAUGAGAGAUCGCCUCCGGUUCCAUUGUUUCAAGAAUGGGCAGUGUUCUUGUAUGGAUUUCUGGUAAAGAUCUAGUCUUUAUGUUCUUUUGAUGGUAAUAAUAUUUAGCACUUGUAUCAAAGUUACUUGAUUCUCUAAUACAAAAUCCGUUCUCAACUA